UACGUAGGGCGCAAGCGUUGUCCGGAAUUAUUGGGCGUAAAGAGCUCGUAGGCGGCCAGUUGCGUCUGCUGUGAAAUCCCGGGGCUCAACCCCGGGCCUGCAGUCGAUACGGGCAGACUAGAGUGCGGUAGGGGAGACUGGAAUUCCUGGUGUAGCGGUGAAAUGCGCAGAUAUCAGGAGGAACACCGGUGGCGAAGGCGGGUCUCUGGGCCGUAACUGACGCUGAGGAGCGAAAGCGUGGGGAGCGAACAGG
rnacentral:rRNA from 1 species